AGCUUGUUGAAGCAGAGCCUGGAGCACAGAGAACCAGCCCAUCCCUCUUGCCCCUUUACUCAACACUUACAUGCUCUCGUGGGCCCCAAGGGACUGGCAGUCUCCUGGGACAUUCUGGACACAGUGCAAAGACGGUUGAGCCACAUCCCUGAACCCAGCCUGGUUCCCCUACGUAUCUGGAGAAGAAGGGUCUACCUCCUAAUGCCUGCCAUGUCACCUAAGAAUUCAGAACAUACCUCAAAAAAACAGAAGGAAACCCUGUUGGGUGUGUCCACCAUGCCACGCACUGUCUACAGCACUUGAUGUGGGUCAUCUCCUUGAGCCUCACAUUAUAAGGAUCAUUCACCACCGUGUGUGCUUCUGGGAAGAAGGAGAAAGCAGAGAGAAGACAUUGGUCCACCAGAUGCUAAGCUAGUUCUGUCUUUUCCAGUGGUGCGCAGGAAGAAGGCACAGCGCUUUCUCCCUACCACAUACUCACCAAGAAGCUCACAUUGUUGGAAAGGAGUCCUUCAUGCUCAUCUUAACUUGCAUACAUUCUGGCAUGUGUCCUCAGCAAAGAAGAAGAGAGAUACAACUGCCCCUCAUUGGACUCAUAAAGCUGCAGCUUGGGAAGAAUGAAGUAUGAAUUCAGAAUCCAUGUUUCCUUAAGACAGCUCAGAACUGCUUGACUUUCAAACUGUUAUCUGAGUGGAACAUUUUUUUGCUCAAUGUGAUCUCAAACACAGACCAACACUACAUAUUCACUCAGCUCUGUAGAUCAGCUUUUCUUUAGCAUUGGACCAGACCACUGUAUCUGCUGAAACACUUGUCAUAACCAGACUGCAAAAUGUUAUCUUUC
rnacentral:lncRNA from 1 species